UACCGAGGUCUCAAGCGUUGUUCGGAUUCAUUGGGCGUAAAGGGUGCGUAGGUGGCGGGGUAAGUCAGGUGUGAAAUCUCGGGGCUCAACCCCGAAACUGCACUUGAUACUGCCUUGCUUGAGUACUGGAGAGGAGAUUGGAAUUUACGGUGUAGCAGUGAAAUGCGUAGAUAUCGUAAGGAAGAACAGUGGCGAAGGCGAAUCUCUGGACAGUUACUGACACUGAGGCACGAAGGCCAGGGGAGCAAACGGG
rnacentral:rRNA from 1 species